rnacentral:rRNA from 1 species
GAGGUGGCAAGCGUUGUUCGGAAUUACUGGGCGUAAAGGGCGCGUAGGCGGCCUUCUCAGUCAGACGUGAAAUCCCCCCGGCUUAACCUGGGAACUGCGUCUGAUACUGGAAGGCUGGAGUUCGGAGAGGGAUGUGGAAUUCCAGGUGUAGCGGUGAAAUGCGUAGAUAUCUGGAGGAACACCGGUGGCGAAGGCGGCAUCCUGGACCGAAACUGACGCUGAGGCGCGAAAGCCAGGGGAGCAAACGGGAUUAGAUACCCCGGUAGUCCUGGCCCUAAACGAUGAGUGCUUGGUGUGGCGGGUAUCGAUCCCUGCCGUGCCGAAGCUAACGCAUUAAGCACUCCGCCUGGGGGAGUACGGUCGCAAGGCUG